UACGUAGGGUGCAAGCGUUAAUCGGAAUUACUGGGCGUAAAGCGUGCGCAGGCGGUUUUGUAAGCUAGAUGUGAAAUCCCCGAGCUUAACUUGGGAACUGCGUUUGGAACUGCAAGACUAGAGUGUGUCAGAGGGGGGUAGAAUUCCACGUGUAGCAGUGAAAUGCGUAGAGAUGUGGAGGAAUACCGAUGGCGAAGGCAGCCCCCUGGGAUAACACUGACGCUCAUGCACGAAAGCGUGGGGAGCAAACAGGAUUAGAUACCCCCGUAGUCC
rnacentral:rRNA from 1 species